rnacentral:rRNA from 1 species
GUGUCAGCAGCCGCGGUAAUACAGAGGGUGCAAGCGUUGUUCGGAUUUACUGGGCGUAAAGCGCGUGUAGGCGGUGACAUAAGUCGGAUGUGAAAUCCCUCGGCUUAACCGAGGACGUGCACCCGAUACUGUGCCACUUGAGUACCGGAGGGGAUGGCGGAAUUCCUGGUGUAGAGGUGAAAUUCGUAGAUAUCAGGAGGAACACCUGUGGCGAAGGCGGCCAUCUGGACGGUAACUGACGCUGAGACGCGAAAGCGUGGGUAGCAAACAGGAUUAGAAACCCCCGUAGUCC